UGGGGAAUAUUGCACAAUGGGCGAAAGCCUGAUGCAGCGACGCCGCGUGAGGGAUGACGGCCUUCGGGUUGUAAACCUCUUUCAGCAGGGAAGAAGCGAGAGUGACGGUACCUGCAGAAGAAGCACCGGCUAACUACGUGCCAGCAGCCGCGGUAAUACGUAGGGUGCGAGCGUUGUCCGGAAUUAUUGGGCGUAAAGAGCUCGUAGGCGGCGUGUCACGUCGGAUGUGAAAGCCCGGGGCUUAACCCUGGGUCUGCAUUCGAUACGGGCAGGCUAGAGUUCGGUAGGGGAGAUCGGAAUUCCUGGUGUAGCGGUGAAAUGCGCAGAUAUCAGGAGGAACACCGGUGGCGAAGGCGGAUCUCUGGGCCGAUACUGACGCUGAGGAGCGAAAGCAUGGGGAGCGAACA
rnacentral:rRNA from 1 species